rnacentral:lncRNA from 1 species
ACCAGUUGUGCCUAGAUGACACGGAUCCACAAUAGCUCUGCUCAAGUGUUUCUAUCGGUAAGGGUUUGCGUCCUCUGGUAGAAUUCAUUUGUAGAUGGACAUCGUCGGGUGAGUUUUAGGGCAGUUUCUGUCCUUGGCUUUACAGUUAUUGCUGCUCUGGUUUUUCUGGUGUUGCUUGCAACGUGGUUAAAGAUGGCCUUCUGUGUCGGGUUGGUUGAUCCGUUUUUGGUUGCUGUCUAGUUGAGAUCGCAUGCGGUAGGGAAUUUGGAGUUUUACUUGAUUUUAUAUUCGUGUGGUGGUCGCGAAGAGCUUCGGGUCGGCAUUAUUUGAUGAUGCGGUUGUUAACAUACCAUCGUUCAAUUUCUCGCAAGGAAAACCUGGCAUGUAUUUGGAUAAUACCUGAAAUAUCGUUACGGGGUUGAGAGUUGGAAGAACGUGACCUGAGGCGGCCAUUGCCAGAGCAGCAGUGAGACUGAAAGUUAAACUCAUGGAAUGCAAUUCAUGCAUGUGAUUAAUUGACCUAGGACGUUGUGAUGCUGAGAAUAGCAAUUUAAGCAGCGUGACCUCAUACUUCAGUAUGACUUCAUCAUCUCAUUGAAUUCCAUGUUCGUGGAGCAUUACCCUGGCAAUCACAUUCCGCUUGAUAACAGGAUGUGCCUGAAUGGUUCAUGGCUGUUUGUAAAGUGGGUGAAGUGAGAUCAACUUUGCUGGUGCAUGGUCGACAACCAGACAUCCGGAAGAAACUCAACAUCUGGGAAUCAGGUGAACAUCUCAUGACGUCAUGAUGACCUCAACAUUUAUAGAGGGUGGGGAUGUCCAUGUGCAGUCUAAUUUUUGUAUGGUGCAAGCUUAUCUUUUAUACGUGUAGUUAGUGGUUUUGUGAAAUGAGGGAAGUAGGUAGAAAUAUUGAAUGUUGUGUUUGCAUGUGUUUCAAAGCAUUCACAUGAUUGAAUAGUAGAUAGGGAGAAAAUACAUGUCAUGGAAAUAUUUUUACAUAGGAAAAUUUGUAGGACAAUGUUUCUUGAAGAGGUUGUGGAGUUUGAUUGUUGUGUAAUAAAUUAUGUCAUAGUACAUAAGUUAUGAAUUAUGUAAUAAAUUAUGUCAUAGUGUUGAGAAAAAUGUAGAAUUUGGACAUAGUCAUGCUGAAUGUAUGAAAUAUAGAAUAGAUUAAGUACAAUGUUGUAGUUGUGAUUGAUUGUGCAAAUUGAAGAAUGUUUUGAAAUACAUAAGCUUAUUGGCAUUAAGAAAAAAGUUUUGGUGUAAUAAUGUAGAAGCAUUGUGAGAAGUUGUAAAAAAUAAUAGUGUAUUAGAUGGAUUGCAAUGUGAGGACAAGUAUUUGAGAAUAACAUUAUCAAGGUUGAGUUGGCUUGAUGGUUGAAAUCACUACAAGAUUUUGUGGAUAUUGUAGAAUAAUAAGAAGUUGGUUUGUAGACAUUUGUUGGUAAGGCUUUGCACCUUCGCUUAGGUUGUAGAAUCAUAUAGUUUGUUGAGUUGUUGGAUAGUUGUGGAAUCAGAUUAUUUGUAUUGUUGUUAGAAGAAAUGGCAUUGUUAAAGUAGUUGAUGAAGAUUACCUUGCUUUGUUUGUUUUCUUUAAAAAAUUAAGUAAUUGCAUGAAAUUUCUUAGAUGAGGGAUUGGUCCAAUGAAGUUGUGGUUAAUUAGAUAGAUUGUAGCACGAGUGCAAGUACAUAAAAAAAAAAAUUGUCAAGAAAAGUAAUUUUUUGAAGACAUUUAUUUGUUAG